GACGAACGCUGGCGGCGUGCCUAAUACAUGCAAGUAGAACGCUGAAGGAGGAGCUUGCUUCUCUGGAUGAGUUGCGAACGGGUGAGUAACGCGUAGGUAACCUGCCUGGUAGCGGGGGAUAACUAUUGGAAACGAUAGCUAAUACCGCAUAACAGUAGAUAUCGCAUGAUAUCUACUUGAAAGGUGCAAUUGCAUCACUACCAGAUGGACCUGCGUUGUAUUAGCUAGUUGGUGAGGUAACGGCUCACCAAGGCGACGAUACAUAGCCGACCUGAGAGGGGGAUCGGCCACCCUGGGACUGUGACACGGCCCAGACUCCUACGGGAGGCAGCAGUAGGGAAUCUUCGGCAAUGGACGGAAGUCUGACCGAGCAACGCCGCGUGAGUGAAGAAGGUUUUCGGAUCGUAAAGCUCUGUUGUAAGAGAAGAACGAGUGUGAGAGUGGAAAGUUCACACUGUGACGGUAUCUUACCAGAAAGAGACGGCUAACUACGUG
rnacentral:rRNA from 1 species